AUGAAUAAUGCAGCGGCGCCCGGGGCCUGUGGAGGAGGGAGAGCCGCGAUUUGGGGGGAUUUAGCCGGGAAACGGGGCCGAGGCUCCCUUGGCGGCUCCGGGGGCAAAGGUGGUAGGAGCAGCUAUGCUGGCUCUGGCGUGGGGGUCCCCGUCGUCCUCCUCGCCCCCCUGCCGCGGGCUGCACGAGGCAUGAGGCGCUUUCCAGAGCCUGCCUUCCGGCCACCCAGGUCACGGGCUUCAGCCCCGCGGAAAGGCCCGGGAAUGCCAUGGGGCUGCCGAGGUGCCGCCCUGCCUGCCGGGAUGGGGCCAGGCCUCGGUGCUGAGUGCAGUGCGGCCUCGGGCUGGGGACGCUGCGGAUGGCCCAAGCUCAGUGCGUCCUGCCGGCAGGUCCACGGCUGCGCUGCCCAGGGCCGGCUCCGCUUCUCCCUCCAGCCCCGCAGCUGCGGGAACCUGACAGCUUGGCGUCCUCUCAGCCCCGCGCGUUCACGGCAUUGCACACUCGCAACACUGUGCUCACAGCAUUGCACACUCACAGUCCCGCAUGCUUACAGGGCCUUGUGCUUGCACUGCACAUGCUCAUGGCAUUGCACACUCGCAGCCCUGCACACUCACAGCAUUGCACACGUGCACCCUGCAUGCUCACAGCAUUGCACACUUGCAACACUGUGUGCUCACAGCAUUGCAUGCUCGCAGCCCUGCACAUUCACAGCAUUGCAACCUUGCAACACUGCCUGCUCAUGGCAUUGCACACUCACAGCCCUGAACACUCAUGGCAUUGCACACUCGCAACACUGUGUGCUCACAACAUUGCACACUCGCACCCCUGCAUGUUCACAGCACUGCACACUCGCGACACUGCCCACUCUUGGCAUUGCACACUCACAGCCCUGCACACUCAUGGCAGUGCACACUCGCAGCCCUACACACUCACAGCAUUGCACACUUGCUGCUCUGCACAUGCAUGGCAUUACACACUUGCAACACUGCACACUCACAGUGUUGCACACUCAAACCCUGCACACUCACAGCAUUGCAAACUCACAGCCCUGCAGGCUCACGGCAUUGCACACUCCCAAUGCCACAUGCUCACAGCGCUUGCAUCCUGCACGCUCCCAGCCAGCGCUCACUCUGUGCAGGCGCACAGAGUGCAACGCUGUUUCCCGCUCUCCCAGCAAUGCCAAACUCAGGCAAUUGCAAUGUUUCCCCAAGAGCAUUUCUGAUUUUUUUUCAGUUUUUCAUGCAAUCAAACCCACCGGCGGCUGGGCAACCCUGGAGCAGGGGCGCAGUCGGUUGCAGCGCCUCGGCCCGAUGCCAACCCCCCCAUGGCACCCCUGCUCCCUGGGACCCCCCAGCCCCAUGGAGUGGGGACGGGGAGGCAGCCAGGGGGCACAGAGCCACACACCAGGGCUGCUCUGCAGCUGCCAUUGCAGCCUGUCCCCAUUUGCUGGGUGUCCCUGGGUGUCCCCAGGUGUCCCCAGGGUGUGA
rnacentral:lncRNA from 1 species